GGGACAACCGCUGGAAACGGCGGCUAAUACCGGGUACUCCGGGAGGGCCCCAUGGCCCUGCCGGGAAAGCCGAGACGGCGCGGGAUGGGGUCGCGGCCCAUUAGGUAGACGGCGGGGUAACGGCCCACCGUGCCCGCGAUGGGUAGCCGGACUGAGAGGUCGACCGGCCACAUUGGGACUGAGAUACGGCCCAGACUCCUACGGGAGGCAGCAGUGGGGAAUUUUGCGCAAUGGGGGAAACCCUGACGCAGCAACGCCGCGUGCGGGACGAAGGCCCUCGGGUUGUAAACCGCUUUCAGCAGGGAAGACUUUACGACGGUACCUGCAGAAGAAGCUCCGGCUAACUACGUGCCAGCAGCCGCGGUAAUACGUAGGGGGCGAGCGUUAUCCGGAUUCAUUGGGCGUAAAGCGCGCGUAGGCGGCCGCCUAAGCGGGACCUCUAACCCCGGGGCUCAACCCCGGGCCGGGUCCCGGACUGGGCGGCUCGAGUGCGGUAGAGGAGAGCGGAAUUCCCGGUGUAGCGGUGGAAUGCGCAGAUAUCGGGAAGAACACCGAUGGCGAAGGCAGCUCUCUGGGCCGUCACUGACGCUGAGGCGCGAAAGCUGGGGGAGCGAACAGGAUUAGAUACCCUGGUAGUCCCAGCCGUAAACGAUGGACGGUAGGUGUGGG
rnacentral:rRNA from 1 species